GGGGGUAUAGCUCAGUUGGUAGAGCGCUGCCUUUGCAAGGCAGUGGUCAGCGGUUCGAGUCCGCUUACCUCCA
rnacentral:ncRNA from 14 species